GGGCCCGCACAAGCGGUGGAGCAUGUGGUUUAAUUCGAUGAUACGCGAGGAACCUUACCAGGGUUUAAAUGCAGAACGACAGGGGUGGAAACACCCCCUUCUUCGGACGGACUGCAAGGUGCUGCAUGGUUGUCGUCAGCUCGUGCUGUGAAGUGUCGGGUUAAGUCCCAUAACGAGCGCAACCCCCAUUUCUAGUUGCCAGCGGUUCGGCCGGGGACUCUAGAGAAACUGCCAGCGUAAGCUGUGAGGAAGGUGGGGAUGACGUCAAAUCAUCACGGCCCUUACAUCCUGGGCCACACACGUGCUACAAUGGUAGGGACAAUGGGUUAAUCCCAAAAAGCUAUCUCA
rnacentral:rRNA from 1 species